rnacentral:rRNA from 1 species
AUUGAACGCUGGCGGCAUGCCUUACACAUGCAAGUCGAACGGCAGCACGGGGGCAACCCUGGUGGCGAGUGGCGAACGGGUGAGUAAUGCAUCGGAACGUGCCCGGAAGUGGGGGAUAACGUAGCGAAAGUUACGCUAAUACCGCAUAUUCUGUGAGCAGGAAAGCAGGGGACCGCAAGACCUUGCGCUUUCGGAGCGGCCGAUGUCGGAUUAGCUAGUUGGUGGGGUAAAGGCUUACCAAGGCGACGAUCCGUAGCUGGUCUUAGAGGAUGAUCAGACACACUGGGACUGAGACACGGCCCAGACUCCGACGGGAGGCAGCAGUGCGGAAUUUUGGACAAUGGGGGCAACCCUGAUCCAGCCAUGCCGCGUGAGUGAAGAAGGCCUUCGGGUUGUAAAGCUCUUUCGGACAGAAAGAAAUCGCAGCGGCUAAUACUCGAUGUGGAUGACGGUACUGUCAUAAGAAGCACCGGCUAACUACGUGCCAGCAGCCGCAGUAACAC